rnacentral:misc_RNA from 1 species
AAAGUCGUAACAAGGUUUCCGUAGGUGAACCUGCGGAAGGAUCAUUACAGAGUUCAUGCCCUCACGGGUAGACCUCCCACCCUUGUGUAUCUAUACUAUGUUGCUUUGGCAGGCUGCUCCACCCCUCGCGGUGGGGCCUCGGCGCUUCGCAGCCUGAGAGUCGCCUGCCAGAGGAAACCCAAACUCUGAACUGUUAGUGUCGUCUGAGUACUAUAUUUUAAUAGUUAAAACUUUCAACAACGGAUCUCUUGGUUCUG